CUGUCAGCCUCGGGAUUCCAGCAAAAACCUGCUUGAGUGAGGUGGGACAGGGCUGUAUGUGUUCCGGAAGGGUUUUUGGAGAAGAUCAGGAUGUCGUCGAGGUAAACAAAGACGAACCGGUUCAACAAAUCCCUAAGAGUGUCAUUGGUCAAUGCUUGAAAGACUGCCGAUUUUAAGCGUUGCGGAGGUCCAGUUUGGUGAAGAAUUGGGCUCCUAGGGCCAACUCCAAGGCGGCGGACAUCGGAGUGAUCUUCCUUGGCCUCAUCACAUGUCUCAGUGGCUCCUCCUUAGGAGGGAGGGGGACACCACCACGGUACAGCCCCCACACUCAUCGCUAGAGAUCGAACUUCAGACUCC